CUUUUCGAGGUAGGAGUCGACUCCUGUGAGGUAUGGUGCUGGGUGCAGAUGCAGUGUGGCUCUGGAUAGCACCUUAUGGACAGUUGUGUCCCCAAGGAAGGAUGAGAAUAGCUACUGAAGUCCUAAAGAGCAAGCCUAACUCAAGCCAUUGGCACACAGGCAUUAGACAGAAAGCUGGAAGUUGAAAUGGUGGAGUCCAACUUGCCUGGACCAGCUUAAUGGUUCUGCUCCUGGUAACGUUUUUAUCCAUGGAUGACUUGCUUGGGGUUUUUAAUGACCACAACAAGCAAGCAUGCAGCUUACUGCUUGAAAGGUGAGGAUUGGAAAUGUUGGGACUAUUAUAAUUGCAGAAUACAUGAUGAUCUCAAUCCAACUUGAACUCUCUCACUGAUUACUUGAUGACAAUAAAAUAUCUGAUAUUCUGCA
rnacentral:lncRNA from 10 species